rnacentral:rRNA from 1 species
ACUCCUACGGGAGGCAGCAGUGGGGAAUAUUGCACAAUGGGCGAAAGCCUGAUGCAGCGACGCCGCGUGAGGGAUGACGGCCUUCGGGUUGUAAACCUCUUUCAGCAGGGAAGAAGCGAAAGUGACGGUACCUGCAGAAGAAGCGCCGGCUAACUACGUGCCAGCAGCCGCGGUAAUACGUAGGGCGCAAGCGUUGUCCGGAAUUAUUGGGCGUAAAGAGCUCGUAGGCGGCUUGUCACGUCGAUUGUGAAAGCCCGAGGCUUAACCUCGGGUCUGCGGUCGAUACGGGCUAGCUAGAGUGUGGUAGGGGAGAUCGGAAUUCCUGGUGUAGCGGUGAAAUGCGCAGAUAUCAGGAGGAACACCGGUGGCGAAGGCGGAUCUCUGGGCCAUUACUGACGCUGAGGAGCGAAAGCGUGGGGAGCGAACAGGAUUAGAUACCCUGGUAG